UGGAUUAUUUUGGAGAGAAUUUCAAGGGGGAUUUCAUCAAGCAUCAAAGGUGAGUUGUUUCUAUUUAUUUCCAAGUUAAAUACAUGGAUUAGAGCUGAAAACUCAAGUAAAUUAUGGACAGAAAUGGUGGUUUAGGGCUUGAAACUUAAGAGAAUUAAAUGAUGAUUUGAGGGGUCAAAUGAACUCCGAUUUUUGUGAAUUUGGUAUGUAUAGACUCGUGGAGAGAUAAGGGUCAUAUUGAUGUAAAAAUUUCUGAAUUUUGAGACGUGGGCCCGGGGCUCGGAUUUUGCUAAUUUCGGGAUUUUCGACAUUUUUCGAGUCUUUUCGAUUGGGUUAUAUUCCCUUAGCCUAUUGUAACGUAUUCGUUGUGGUUUUGACUAGAUUCGACGUGCGAAGAGGUCGAUUCAAGAGGAAAGGGCAUUGCGGACUAGUCUACGGCCAGUUAGAGGUGAGUAAUAGAUGUAAAUGCUGUUCUGAGGGUUUGAAACCCCGGACUUUCACAUCGUAACGCUAUAUUGAGGCGUGACACGCACUUCAUGGCGAGUGCGGG
rnacentral:lncRNA from 1 species